UUGUGCUUAACUGAAUUUUAUAAAGCUGAUCGAUAUCUUGGUAAAAUAUUCAUUUUUAAACUAGCGGGCAGCGAAAUCUUUGCUUUGUGCUAAAGUCAACAGUCGCAGAGUUUCAGCUCCAAUAAAUGCCGGGAUGCUCCCAGCUCCCGCAGAGCCGGGCCGGCGGCCGGGGCGCAGAAAUAGUCCUAAUCCUAUAUUUCUGCCGGGGAAAGUCCGCUUCGGCUCCGCGCUAGACUAAUCCAGAAACCACAUAAAAUCAGAUUCCUGCAGCCACAUCCUCCUGGCUGCUGGGAGCUCCCCACCUGUCCGAGCAAGGCCGGACAAGGAGCUCACCCUGCCUGGGGAAGGAGCAGCUUUCCACAGGGUUUUCUCCCACCAGCAUUACAAGGAAUGAUCCUUAUCCCUGCUGGAAAACAGCUCCCAAGAGCCACAGCCCGGAGGAGUGGAAACGUGGGGAUUUUAUUUCCCGCCCCGGUUCUGAAGGCAGCGACACUGAGGGAUUUGGGAGACCUUGGAAUGCUUUGCCUGUCCCUGCCAGCCUCCUGCUCGCCUGCCUGAUCCCACACUGCCCUUCCCUCUCCUGUAUUUAUUUAACUAAUGGACAAGGAGUCGGUGUCAGGGGGAGCUGGGACAAAUUGGGCUUCGCCCGUGCGCUGCUGCCGUGUCCUCAUCCCUAUUAAAGGCAAAGAUUCCCAUCUC